rnacentral:lncRNA from 1 species
CUCAGUUUGAAGGCACGAGUAAUGAAUUACCCCAGUCGCAUUCCACCAAACUGUGAUUAAAAUCUUCCGUGGAUGAAGUGAUGGCUUUAGAAAAGAUGUCGCAAUAUUGUUGUAUGGUCAACUUUCAUCGUGAUAGCCAGUUCCCUCGUGGAUACAAUUGGAUCCGCUUCCACCAAUGCCUUCAGAUCAUCAUUUUUCACAGACGUUUUGGGUCUUCCACGCGGAUCAUUUUGUAGUGAAAAAUCACCGGACCUAAAUUUUUCAAACUAACGCUGCACUUUUCGAUCAUUGACUGUAUUCUUCCCAAACGCUUGAUUUAUGUUGCGUGCAGCUUUUGCAGCAUUAUUACCAAGUUUAUACUCGUACAAAAAAAUUAUGCGAAUAUCGUUUAGAUUCAUAUCGGUACAAAAUUCAAAUCAAAUAACAAAAAGGAACACUUUCGAGAAAAUCUCCUUUGUUGAAAUGUGACUCUGGCAAUGGACAAUACGACCAUAAACGAAGUUAUGUCAAAAA